rnacentral:rRNA from 1 species
UACGGGGGGAGCAAGCGUUGUUCGGAUUUACUGGGCGUAAAGGGCGCGUAGGCGGCCACCGCAAGUCAGUUGUGAAAUCUCUGGGCUUAACCCAGAAAGGUCAACUGAUACUGCGGGGCUAGAGUGCAGAAGGGGCAACUGGAAUUCUCGGUGUAGCGGUGAAAUGCGUAGAUAUCAGGAGGAAUACCGAUGGCGAAGGCAGGUCUCUGGGCUGACACUGACGCUCAUGCACGAAGGCGUGGGGAGCAAACAGG